GUGCAGCAGUCGCGAAUUUUUCUCAAUGGGGGAAACCCUGAAGGAGCGACGCCGCGUGGAGGAUGAAGGUCUUCGGGUUGUAAACUCCUGUCAUUUGGGAACAAGUCGCUUACGUUAACUGCGUGAGCGUUGAUAGUACCAGAAGAGGAAGAGACGGCUAACUCUGUGCCAGCAGCCGCGGUAAUACAGAGGUCUCAAGCGUUGUUCGGAUUCAUUGGGCGUAAAGGGUGUGUAGGUGGCGCCGUAAGUCGGGUGUGAAAUCUCGGGGCUUAACUCCGAAACUGCAUUCGAUACUGCGGUGCUUGAGGACUGGAGAGGAGACUGGAAUUCAUGGUGUAGCAGUGAAAUGCGUAGAGAUCAUGAGGAAGACCAGUGGCGAAGGCGGGUCUCUGGACAGUUCCUGACACUGAGACACGAAGGCCAGGGGAGCAAACGGGAUUAGAUACCCCUGUAGU
rnacentral:rRNA from 1 species